GCAACUUACCUAUCAGAGGGGGAUAGCCCGGCGAAAGUCGGAUUAAUACCCCAUAAAACAGGGGUCCCGCAUGGGAAUAUUUGUUAAAGAUUCAUCGCUGAUAGAUAGGCAUGCGUUCCAUUAGGCAGUUGGCGGGGUAACGGCCCACCAAACCGACGAUGGAUAGGGGUUCUGAGAGGAAGGUCC
rnacentral:rRNA from 1 species